rnacentral:rRNA from 1 species
GAUGAACGCUGGCGGCGUGCCUAAUACAUGCAAGUCGAGCGAACAGACGAGGAGCUUGCUUCUCUGAUGUUAGCGGCGGACGGGUGAGUAACACGUGGAUAACCUACCUAUAAGACUGGGAUAACUUCGGGAAACCGGAGCUAAUACCGGAUAAUAUAUUGAACCGCAUGGUUCAAAAGUGAAAGACGGUUUUGCUGUCACUUAUAGAUGGAUCCGCGCUGCAUUAGCUAGUUGGUAAGGUAACGGCUUACCAAGGCAACGAUGCAUAGCCGACCUGAGAGGGUGAUCGGCCACACUGGAACUGAGACACGGUCCAGACUCCUACGGGAGGCAGCAGUAGGGAAUCUUCCGCAAUGGGCGAAAGCCUGACGGAGCAACGCCGCGUGAGUGAUGAAGGUCUUCGGAUCGUAAAACUCUGUUAUUAGGGAAGAACAUAUGUGUAAGUAACUGUGCACAUCUUGACGGUACCUAAUCAGAAAGCCACGGCUAACUACGUG